UUUGUUGACGUGUCUGUCCGCGAUUACAGUCAUACACACGUCUUUCAAAUGUGUAUAAUACCUCCUUAUAUUUUUUAACACUUGAAAGUAUUGUUUCUUAUUGUUAGCAGGUAUUCUUCUUGCAUCAACGAGUAUUAGUAGUUUCAACCAGACAAAGCGCUGAGACACACGAUCGGAUGUUUCACCUGAUGACUUUGGAGAUGUGACUGUUGAAUGCAUAAUGCUAUUAUGCACAUACGAAAGAAUGAUUGUUACUUUUUCCUUAUAAAAAACUUACUACAGGUAUUGUAUUAUUGUUUCGCAUUGGUUGAUCAUUCGACAAAGGAGAAUAAACUUUUUAAAUGAUUGAUGCUAGUUUAAGAUCGUGCAUGGAAUUGAUUUUUAUGAUAUAUUCGAGAAAAGGUAAAGUUUUGGCUGGAAGGAAUGAAAGAACUGGUCUUUAAGUCAAGUUAAAAGCAACUUAAAGGUCAAUUAAUAAUGUGUUGGAAUUUCUGAAUUAUUUUUUUUUUCUUUUUAAAUAUUAAAUUAAAAUAGUUAGAAUAAUAGGCAUAUAAUUUUUUGCAUGAUUACAAAGGCUUCAAUCAAAUUCUAAAAAAUCACAUUCAAUGCUUGAUAAUUGUUUAGAGUAUUUUAAACAGGGUUAUUACAAUAAAAUUUUAACCGAUCGAUUUUUGAGCAAACUAACAAGCUUAAUGCAACGACUGAUGGAGAUGAAAACUAUAAUAGUAUUGGAGCUGCAGUUAAGACCACCCAAAGACUGCCAAUGUGGACCUCAUACCAGGAACCCGAUUGUGUCCAAGGGUCACUCGACUGCUCAUUAUGCAUCUCAAAUCUCUCCUCGCACCUUCGUUAAUUUGAGUUAAGUGUUAAUUUAAUUGAACACCCUCACUUGCCGACGCAGCAUACAUAUAUACCUUUUUUCUUUUUUGACCAGUUUAUUAUAGAGUCAAUCGCCAUUCACCUUUGUUCUUUACCACUCAAUAAAUGUUCUUCAUUGCUCAUCAAUUAUACCGAUAAACCGUUUAAUGUUAAUCGUUAACUUGAGGUAAAAAUGCAUGAAAAAAAUUGGUAAUAAGUGUAAAUAAAUUGGCGGAUAAUGUACUGUUAGUAUUACUACAGUUUAUCGUAUAUGAAAUUUAUGCGUGAGGUUAUUCUUCUUCAAGAACAAUAUCUGAAAUGUUGAACAGGAACACGAUAUACUCUUCUACCGAUUCGCGCUUUCGGGUGUGAGCCUCGAUGUAGAAGGCAAUAUCUUUAUCAGCUAAAUGUGUUUUACAUUAAUACUUGAGUGUUUUAGUAGCCAUUGCCGACCAUUAAUGCCACAUUGGGUUGAGUGCUUCAACGCUUCUGCAUGGUAUGACCGAUUCAAGUAGAACCUUUGUAAUAUACCUCCAUUAUCUAACGGGCCGAUUUUUUUGAUUUUGCCAUUCUUCCUUUCAAAGCAAAAAAUGUUAAAAUAUUCAACAUUAGCUGAUGACUGAUAAAUUAAAAUCUUAGAGCAGCCAAGUGUAAGCUUUUAGGAAAUGAACAAAUUAAAGUUUAUAUUAUCUUACAGCAGAAGAGAAGAUAGAUCGACGAUGGAAUUGAAUCGAUAAGAACUGACGCGGUACAGACGUGGUACCAGUGGAGGAUGCUGGGAUCACUGGGGAACCUAGCUAACUCUUAUACUUACUUGAAUGGCCUCGGUUGGCUUAGUGUAGUGGUAGAAGAACGUCUUGCGUUGAAAGUGGUGGUAAGUAUGGUACCCCUGGAGCGGGUGUCAUCAUUUAUCUCGCACCGGAGAUCGGGUUUGCCGAUACUGUGGGACAUUUUAAUGGCCGAACCAUGUUGGAAUUAACUAAAACAAAGACGAAGCAUCAAUUAGGCGACUUUUUCUUCCACUUAUUCUUGCCUGAGAGGGAGUUAGAAAAAGACAGAAUUCAUAUACGUAGACAUCGAGUGUGUGUACAUGGUGAUGUGGAGUUGACACGCCGAUGCUGAUUCUCACGUACUUGAAUUUGAUGUGUAGGUAGCUGAAUUGUCCAAGAUAAUGCCUGAUAAAUUGUGCUCCGAUGCCGCCAAGGACCACCAUCGAAUUCUGCCAAAACAUCUGUCACAUCACAGAAUCUAACUCGAGCGAGUUUUAGAAGUAGCAGAAGGAAUGGUCAGGUUAGUGUGAACCUGUCGUCGCCCCAAUAGCUACCUCCGAGGUGAAAAGUUGAGAAACGAUGGCUGAAAAAAAAACCGACUUGAAGUUGUCCACAUCCGGUCGUUUAGAGAUGCAGCGGGGACCCACGACUCGUUCUCACACACUCUUUUUGUCUCUGCCAGUUCUCUAUGCCGGUAGACGAUACCAAACAGGCGAGAUUCCACGGAAAUUUCUUUGCCCAUUCUAUAUAUCCUCUCACUCUCAAUGAGUGAGUAGGAAUACUUGCGGCUUUUGAAAACAAAGAUUGGAAACAAUGGUGAUAGAGUAAAAUACAAAUUGAGAAAAAAAGAGAGGAGAAAGAAAGAUGAAACGAAGAUGAGAGAUUCAAGAAGAGUGAUACUGGCGUGUGUGAACCGGACAUCCCAAGUCUUUCUGUAGCCUUGAAUGGACGCGUCCAUGAUGUUAAAGAUUUAUUUUAUUUUUUCAAAGCUAGCUUACUACCUAAGAAACGUAAAUCUCAACGUGUGCGGCCAUGCCUAUGGCUAAGAUAACAUAAAAUUGAGCGAACUGACCUGCUAAAUACCGUUGUCAAUUACGACGAUUGGGACCGGAAGUGUUAUAAGAGAAUUGAGGAUGAAUUGACAAUGUCAAUUCUUGACGUUAUAAUAGGAUGAUCGAUGGACCUGGUAUAUUCAUCAGCUUUAGUGUCAACUGUAGAUGACUUCGCACACAUUUUUGAGACGAUCUAUUAUUCUAAAAUAAUGACUCACUAUCCUAGAGGCCAGAGAGAGAUACAAAGAAGAGGCUUGGUCGGAUUGAGUCCAGUGAUAAAUCGCUGCAGCAUUCGAAGAUGACACCGCGUACGUAUAUAGCAACUGAACAGAAACGAAAGAUGAGCCCAGGUGUUGUAGAGAAUAUUUAUAAAUCUACACCGUUAAAUAUUUAGAUUUAUUAUAUUGUAAAAAAAAAA